rnacentral:rRNA from 1 species
ACGAAGGGUGCAAGCGUUACUCGGAAUUACUGGGCGUAAAGCGUGCGUAGGUGGUUUGUUAAGUCUGAUGUGAAAGCCCUGGGCUCAACCUGGGAACGGCAUUGGAUACUGGCUUACUAGAGUGCGGUAGAGGGUAGUGGAAUUCCCGGUGUAGCGGUGAAAUGCGUAGAGAUCGGGAGGAACACCAGAGGCGAAGGCGGCUAGCUGGAUAGGCACUGACACUCAACUACGAAAGCGUGGGGAGCAAACAGGA